AUUGAACGCUGGCGGCAUGCUUUACACAUGCAAGUCGAACGGUAACAGGCCGCAAGGUGCUGACGAGUGGCGAACGGGUGAGUAAUGCAUCGGAACGUGCCCAGUCGUGGGGGAUAACGCAGCGAAAGCUGCGCUAAUACCGCAUACGAUCUAUGGAUGAAAGCGGGGGACCGAAAGGCCUCGCGCGAUUGGAGCGGCCGAUGUCAGAUUAGGUAGUUGGUGGGGUAAAGGCUCACCAAGCCAACGAUCUGUAGCUGGUCUGAGAGGACGACCAGGCACACUGGGACUGAGACACGGCCCAGACUCCUACGGGAGGCAGCAGUGGGGAAUUUUGGACAAUGGGCGCAAGCCUGAUCCAGCAAUGCCGCGUGCAGGAAGAAGGCCUUCGGGUUGUAAACUGCUUUUGUACGGAACGAAACGGUCCGGGUUAAUACCCUGGGCUAAUGACGGUACCGUAAGAAUAAGCACCGGCUAACUACGUGCCAGCCGCCGCGGUAAAAC
rnacentral:rRNA from 1 species